rnacentral:rRNA from 1 species
CCAGAGACCGAUAGCGCACAAGUAGAGUGAUCGAAAGAUGAAAAGCACUUUGGAAAGAGAGUCAAACAGUACGUGAAAUUGUUGAAAGGGAAGCGCUUGCAACCAGACUUGCCCGUGGGUGAUCAGCCGGUAUUCUUACCGGUGCACUCGCCCGUGGUCAGGCCAGCAUCGGUUCGGGCGGCUGGAUAAAGUCCACCGGAAUGUAGCUCCUCUCGGGGAGUGUUAUAGCCGGAGGUGCCAUGCAGCCCGCCCGGACCGAGGACCGCGCUUCGGCUAGGAUGCUGGCGUAAUGGUUGUAAGCGACCCGUCUUGAAACACGGACCAAGGAGUCUAACAUCUAUGCGAGUGUUUGGGUGUCAAACCCAUGCGCGUAAUGAAAGUGAACGGAGGUGGGAACCCUGAAGGGUGCACCAUCGACCGAUCCUGAUGUCUUCGGAUGGAUUUGAGUAAGAGCAUAGCUGUUGGGACCCGAAAGAUGGUGAACUAUGCCUGAAUAGGGUGAAGCCAGAGGAAACUCUGGUGGAGGCUCGCAGCGGUUCUGACGUGCAAAUCGAUC